GUUUUCUUCAGUGUUACAAGUGAGAGAAGCAGUCAGGCAACAGGAGGAAAAACAUACUUUAACCACCAGAUCCUCCUGUCAACCCUCGUGACAAAGGGCAUCUCGGGAUCCGCACUCCAAUGGUUCAAGUCUUACCUCUCAGCCAGAUGAUCCAACGGUUGCUGCUCGCACUGCAGCCUGCCUGACAGCCCUUUCUGCCUGGAUGAAGGACCACCACCUUCAACUCAACCUUGCAAAGAGGGAACUGCUUGUGGUUGGUGCCAACCCAACACUUCAUCAUAACCUUUCCAUUCAACUUGGUUUGUCAACCAUAACUUCUUCCAAUACAGCCAGGGACCUUGGAGUGGUGAUGGAUGAUCGUUUAAGCUUCACAGAUCAUAUUGCUACAAUGGCCCGGUCCUGUAGAUUUGCCUUAUACAACAUUAGGAAGAUCAGACGCUUCCUAUCGGAGCA